CUGUGAUGUCAUGGACACAAAGAAGAAAAUGCAAAACAGGUGGCCUUAAAUCAGCUUCCUGGUGAGCAUCAUACGUACAGCUGAGGCCUGAGACCAGCUGCAUUUUGUCCAUGGCUUUACAGGACACUCUGGAAGCCGUGUGGUUGGGGCUCCUCCUCAGCUUUCUUUGGAAGGUUGCAGAGAGCAAGGACCAAGUACUCCAGCCUUCCACUGUGGUAUCUUCGGAGGGAGCUGUGGCGGAAAUCUCCUGUAAUCACUCUAUAUCCAAUGCUUACAACUUCUUCUGGUACCUUCACUUCCCUGGAUGUGCGCCAAGACUCCUUGUUAAGGGCUCAAGGGCUUCUCAGCAGGGACGCUACAACAUGACUUAUGAGCGAUCCUCUUCAUCACUGCUCAUCCUCCAGGUGCAGGUGGCAGAUGCUGCCAUUUACUACUGUGCUCUGGAGGACACAGAGGCAGGGAACCCAUGAAGAGCUGAACAGAAAUGGGGAGAGAUCACAGCCUUUCCAGGAGGUGGAAAAGAGAUGAGCAAUAACUGCUUUUCCCCCUAAUGCAGUGUUCCUCAAGCUUUUCCAUUUGGCACUGCCAUCAGAAAACAAAUUUGAGUCCAGACACACUAUAUAUUAGCAAAUGUACAUAGGAACCUAUGUUUUCAGGGAGUGAUUCAAUAAUGGUGCUAUAAAUCCAUAUUUCAAUAGUCUUCUUGAUGACU